rnacentral:tRNA from 1 species
UCAAUCCCCUUUUCUUAUCA